rnacentral:rRNA from 1 species
AUUGAACGCUGGCGAAUGCUUUACACAUGCAAGUCGAACGGUAGAGGGGGCAACCCCUUGAGAGUGGCGAACGGGUGAGUAAUAUAUCGGAACGUGCCCAGUCGUGGGGGAUAACGUAGUGAAAAUUACGCUAAUACCGCAUACGAUCUAAGGAUGAAAGCGGGGGAUCGCAAGACCUCGCGCGAUUGGAGCGGCCGAUAUCAGAUUAGGUAGUUGGUAGGGUAAAGGCCUACCAAGCCAACGAUCUGUAGCUGGUCUGAGAGGACGACCAGCCACACUGGAACUGAGACACGGUCCAGACUCCUACGGGAGGCAGCAGUGGGGAAUUUUGGACAAUGGGCGAAAGCCUGAUCCAGCCAUUCCGCGUGCAGGAUGAAGGCCCUCGGGUUGUAAACUGCUUUUGUACAGAACGAAAAGGUCUCUAUUAAUACUAGGGGCUCAUGACGGUACUGUAAGAAUAAGCACCGGCUAACUACGUG